rnacentral:rRNA from 1 species
CCUACGGGUGGCAGCAGUGAGGAAUAUUGGUCAAUGGGCGGAAGCCUGAACCAGCCAAGUAGCGUGAGGGAUGACGGCCCUACGGGUUGUAAACCGCUUUUGCACGGGGAUAACACCCUCCACUUGUGGAGGUCUGCAGAUACCGUGCGAAUAAGGGCCGGCUAAUUCCGUGCCAGCAGCCGCGGUAAUACGGAGGGCCCGAGCGUUAUCCGGAUUUAUUGGGCUUAAAGGGAGCGUAGGCGGGCGUUCAAGUCAGCUGUAAAAUCGCGCGGCUCAACCGCGCCCCGCAGUUGAAACUGGACGCCUUGAGUUCACUACAGGCAGGCGGAAUGCGUGGUGUAGCGGUGAAAUGCAUAGAUAUCACGAAGAACCACGAUUGCGAAGGCAGCCUGCCGGGGUGCAACUGACGCUGAUGCUCGAAAGUGCGGGUAUCAAACAGGAUUAGAUACCCCAGUAGUC